rnacentral:rRNA from 1 species
GCUCRKUAACACGUGGAUAACGGGMCCUAGAGUGGAGGAUAAUCUCGGGAAAUUGAGGAUMAUACUCCAUAGAUCAUGAAUUCUGGAACGACUCAUGGUUGAAAGUUCCGGCGCUCUAGGAUCGGUCUGCGGCCUAUCAGGUAGUAGUGGGUGUAACGGACCCACUAGCCGACGACGGGUAUGGGCCUUGAGAGAGGGAGCCCAGAGAUGGAAUCUGAGACACGAUUCCAGGCCCUACGGGGCGCAGCAGUCGCGAAAACUUCACAAUGGAGGCAACUCCGAUGAGGGAAUUCCAAGUGCUAGCACAUUAGUGUUAGCUUUUCUUAAGCAUAGAUAACUUAAGGAAUAAGGGCUGGGUAAGACGGGUGCCAGCCGCCGCGGUAAUACCCGCAGCCCAAGUGGUGGUCGAUUUUAUUGAGUCUAAAACGUUCGUAGCCGGUUCAUUAAAUCCUUGGGUAAAUCGGAUGGCUUAACUAUCCGAAUUCCGGGGAGACUGGUGAACUUGGGACCGGGAGAGGCAAGAGGUACUUUUGGGGUAGGGGUAAAAUCCUGUAAUCCUAAAAGGACCACCGGUGGCGAAGGCGUCUUGCUAGAACGGAUCCGACGGUGAGGGACGAAGCCCUGGGUCGCAAACGGGAUUAGAUACCCCGGUAGUCCAGGGUGUAAACGCUGCAGACUUGGUGUUGGGGACCCUUCGGGGGUGUUCAGUGCCGGAGAGAAGUUGUUAAGUCUGCUACUUGGGGAGUACGUCCGCAAGGAUGAAACUUAAAGGAAUUGGCGGGGGAGCACCGCAACGGGAGGAACGUGCGGUUUAAUUGGAUUCAACACCGGAAAACUCACCAGCAGCGACUAUUACAUGAAAGUCAGGCCGAUGACCUUACUAGAUUUUUAGAGAGGUGGUGCAUGGCCGUCGUCAGUUCGUACCGUAAGGCGUUCUCUUAAGUGAGAUAACGAACGAGACCCUCACCAAUAAUUGCUACUGCGUCGUCCGCGGCGUAGGCACAUUAUUGGGACCGCUGGCGCUAAGUCAGAGGAAGGAGUGGACGACGGUA